AUUUUUUAAGUAUAUUUAAUAACACGGAUUAUUUUUGUUAUAAUUUUUAAAAAUAAUUAUGAUAUUUAACUUACACAGAAAACCAAAUUAGUAUGUUCAUUUUGUAUCGGAAUAAUAUCUGUAGGUUAUUUUACCCUUUUAUCCCUACACAACUCACACACACAUUAGUGUACAAGGUCAUUCUUGAUCUUUCUAUAUAUUUCUGAUAUAUGUGGACAAAAUUAGUGACACGUUUUCUUUGUUGAUUCUUUUAAAGUCUUUGAUUUUAACUUUACCAAUUUUAUGCUUUACUUUGUGUUUGAACAGGCUUCGAGAGAACACCACAAGUAUAUACAAAAUUGGGUAAACACAUCAAUACAGAACCAAAUCUCAAAGAUAACCAAACCAGAAAAGAGAUGAGAGGGAAAGAAAUACAAACACGAGAGAUUACAAGGUUCACCACCAAAAUUUGGGGUUACAUCCUUGGUGAGCUACCUCAGAGAAAGCUCAAGUCAAAUCCAUUAUCAAGAUCGCAGUUUACAACAGAUUUCUGGAGAUUCCAGCCACGAGUCAGCUAGUAAUCUUGAUGCUUCAACCAGGUAUGAAUCAAAACUCUCAAACACUUUUUCUUUCUCUUUUCUUCUCUCCGGAUUGAACCGAUCCCUCACUUUUUCCUCUCUCUAACACUUCUCUUCCUUUCUCUCAACUUGAGAGCUUCUCUCACUAGAUUUCACUCAGGAUCACUUCUCUUUCUUCUGCAGAAUUUCGUUAUAAAGUUGUCAGCUUAUAUGGGGAAUUAAUUUCAACAAUAUCAAAUUCUUGUUUUUCGUCCCCAAAAAAUAUUGAAUGUUAGUUUUUUUUUUUUUUUAUGUUUGAUAUUGAAUGCUAGUUUAAUUUAACAGAUAGGACUAUGUUCAACAUAGUAUAUGAGACUGGAAAAACAAACUUUGUAAAUAAUAUAAUUUCAUUUCAAUUA